GUCGUGACAGUCGGGGAGGUUUGCAAAGGGCCCUUCAUUCCUGAGGGGCCUGAGCCCAAGGCUGUGCUGCACCCACAGGACGCGAACUCUGCCAGGGACAGUCAUGGUCCCUGCAGGUGCAGGUCUUGCAGCAGACCCGGACUCCAGCCGGUGCAGAUGAAAAGGGGUCACGGAAAGGCCCCAUGCUGUGUUUAUAUCCACGUGGUAUCCAGGGGUCUCCUUGAAGACCUGGUGGAUGAUGACACCUCCCGGGGACAGCUCCGUCCCUCAGCCCCGCCUUGGCGAGUGCUCGGCCAGUGUGAGGCCGACAGAGAGCACGCCCGAGUCCCUGGAAAGGGUCCCUGGCCUCAUCCUUCCCUUCCUUUGAGCUCAGGAAUGGGCACAGCCAACACGAGCUCCCUUCACCGGACAUCAGCUCCCCGGCAACUCCGAGCUGAGGCCGCCUAGGAUCCGGGAGGCGUCUCCACUCAGCCCAGCAGUUACCCUGUCCUGAGCAAACCCACCUGCCCCACGGGGAGGGGCGCCUGGGCAGCCUGGGCAGCAGGACAUAACCAGGAGGAUUUACGGAGCAAGUGAACAAAGAAUGUCUGUGUCAGCUCUUUUUUUUAAAUCUAAGGAAUAAAGGCUUCAUUGCAAAGUAUUUA